AACAGUCCUGUGACUCCUCACAAAGACUACCCUGACCAAGGUUUUGCUAAAUUGAAACACGACUGUACACAGCUCCUAAACUAGAGUGGUCAAUCCCAUCAUGACACACGCACCGACAAGUCAAGUACUUGACUACACCCAGUAGCCUUCCAUCACUGAAUUAGAAAUUCAGGUAGUCUAGUAACUAAGUGCAGUGAGUUGC
rnacentral:lncRNA from 1 species